GACGAACGCUGGCGGCGUGCUUAACACAUGCAAGUCGAACGAGAAUCAAUGGAUAGAGGAUUCGUCCAAUUGAAGUUGAGGAAAGUGGCGGACGGGUGAGUAACGCGUGAGGAACCUGCCUUUCAGAGGGGGACAACAGUUGGAAACGACUGCUAAUACCGCAUAACGCAUAGAGGUCGCAUGAUCUGUAUGCCAAAGAUUUAUCGCUGAAAGAUGGCCUCGCGUCUGAUUAGCUAGUUGGUGAGGUAACGGACCACCAAGGCGACGAUCAGUAGCCGGACUGAGAGGUUGACCGGCCACAUUGGGACUGAGAUGCGGCCCAGACUCCUACGGGAGGCAGCAGUGGGGAAUAUUGGGCAAUGGGCGCAAGCCUGACCCAGCAACGCCGCGUGAAGGAAGAAGGCUUUCGGGUUGUAAACUUCUUUGACAGGGGAAGAGUAGAAGACGGUACCCUGAAAACAAGCCACGGCUAACUACGUGCCAGCAGCCGCCGUAAUAC
rnacentral:rRNA from 1 species